UUGCGUGAAAGUCCCGGACAGCAGCCUUGCAUCUCUCAUGCUUGCAUGGGAAAUUCAAGGAUAUUGGACGGGCAAGACGACAUGAGCAAGUAGGGCAAUAGCCCGGAUUGCGAAUGUCGUCGGCAGCUGCGGGAGUGCCAACGGCGCAAAGACAAAAACCGCACAA
rnacentral:sRNA from 1 species